CGCGGCCUAUCAGCUUGUUGGUGAGGUAAUGGCUCACCAAGGCGAUGACGGGUAGCUGGACUGAGAGGUCGGCCAGCCACAAGGGCACUGAGACACUGGCCCUACAUCUACGGAUGGCAGCAACCGGGAAUCUUGCGCAAUGGGGGAAACCCUGACGCAGCGACGCCGCGUGGAGGAUGAAGGUUUUCGGAUCGUAAACUCCUUUUGCCAAGUCCUUCACAGCUUGGAGAAUAAGCCUUUACUAACUACGUGCCAGAAGUCUCGGUAAUACGUAGGAGGCAAGCGUUAUCCGGAUUAACUGGGCGUAAAGCGUGCGUAGGCGGUUUCCUAAGUCGCACUUUAAAGCCUGCGGCUCAACCGCAGUCAUGGGUGUGAUACUGGGUUACUUGAGGAUUGUUCGGGGUAUCGGAACAGCUAGUGUAGCGGUGAAAUGCGUUGAUAUUAGCUGGAACACCGAAGGCGAAGGCAGAUACCUGGAAUUAUCCUGACGCUGAGGUACGAAAGCUAGGGGAGCGAAAGG
rnacentral:rRNA from 1 species